rnacentral:rRNA from 1 species
GUCUACCACCAUACCACCCUGAAUGCGCCCAAACUCAUCUGAUCUCAGAAGCUAAGCAGGGUCGGGCCUGGUUAGUACUUGGAUGCGAGACCACCUGGGAAUACCAGGGUGUUGUAGGCU